GAUGAACGCUGGCGGUCUGCUUAACACAUGCAAGUCGAACGGAACCUUUCGGGGUUUAGUGGCGGACGGGUGAGUAACGCGUGAGAAUCUACCCUUUGGUUCGGGACAACAGUUGGAAACGACUGCUAAUACCGGAUGUGCCGGAAGGUGAAAGCUUUAGUGCCAAAGGAAGAGCUCGCGUCUGAUUAGCUAGUAGGAGUGGUAACGGCACCCUAGGCGACGAUCAGUAGCUGGUCUGAGAGGAUGAUCAGCCACACUGGGACGUGAGACACGGCCCACGACUCCUACGGGAGGCAGCAGUGGGGAAGUUUUCCGUCAAUGGGCGCAAGCCUGACGGAGCAAGACCGCGUGAGGGAAGAAGGUCUGUGGAUUGUAAACCUCUUUUGAUAGGGAAGAAGACAGUGACGGUACCUAUCGAAUCAGCCUCGGCUAACUCCGUGCCAGCCGCCGCGGUAAU
rnacentral:rRNA from 1 species